rnacentral:rRNA from 1 species
UACAGGGGGGGCAAGCGUUGUUCGGAAUUACUGGGCGUAAAGGGUUCGUAGGUGGCCACUUAAGUCAGACGUGAAAUCCCUCAGCUUAACUGGGGAACUGCGUCUGAUACUGAGUGGCUUGAGUGCAGGAGAGGGAUGCGGAAUUCCAGGUGUAGCGGUGAAAUGCGUAGAUAUCUGGAGGAACACCGGUGGCGAAGGCGGCAUCCUGGACUGUAACUGACACUGAGGAACGAAAGCCAGGGGAGCAAACGGG